rnacentral:lncRNA from 10 species
CAGGCCCAGCCGCACACCCAUCCGCUGUGAGUAUGUUCUUGCUUUGUAAAAACUGUGCUGACACCAAACUCAUCAAAUUGUAUAUAUUAAAUAUAUGCCGUGUUUUGUAUAUCAAGUAUACCUUAAAGCCAUAUUUAUUUAUUUAUUGAGAUGGAGUUUCACUCUUGUUGCCCAGGCUGGAGUGCAGCGGUGCAAUCUCGGCUCACUGCAACAUUUGCCUCCCGGAUUCAAGUGAUUCUCUUGCCUCAGCUUCCCGAGCGCCUUUCUUACAGGUGCCCGCCACCGCGCCCAGCUAAUUUUUUUUUGUAUUUUUAGUAGAGAUGGGGUUUCACCAUGUUGGCCAGGCUGGUCUCGACCUCCCAACCACAGGUGAUCCGCCCGCCUCGGCCUCCCUAAGUGCUGGGAUUACAGGCAUAAGCCACCGCGCCCGCCUCUUCUGGGCCUAUGUAAAUUGAACACAUUUAUGAGGCCCUGCUCUGUGCCCAGACACUGUGCUAAGCUUUGAGGAUCCACGAUGACCACCUGGAGGAAGCCGCCGGUUCCCCUCUCCCAGGGAUGUUUUCCAUCUGCCUUCACCCGGCUCGUGCCCCGCUUGCUGUGGCUCUCGCUGUGUUGCGUUGUCUGCUACAGACCUUUCCUUCUACACUGUGUUACCUACGCGUUAUCAACAUCUGAGUGUCCUGUGAUCUGAGUGACACCGAUCCCAGUGCCUGGUCCGUGGCAGGCAUUUAUCUGUUGACUGAAGGAGAAACAAGAAAGUAAGGAAGCAGCCCCGGAGCUGGAGGGAUCCGCAGGGCCCCCGAGGCCAGUUGUCUUGCUGCUGAGAAGCAGAGGAGUUCCAGAGCUUAGCGACUUCUCCCAGGUCGUCAGCGAGCGAGCGGCAGAGGCAGGACAAGAACCCGGAGCGCCCCACUUUACAGGGCACCUGCUCUCUCGACCUGUCUCUGGGUGGGGCUUUCUUGCCACGAACUUGCCCCUCCCCGACUCAGACUUUGUGCCUGGCCCUGACCCUUUCCCUCCUGGCCUCCGCACGCCGUGAGCGUGUCCCAUCAGCGUGUCGAGUGAAUCCGCGUAGACGCCCACCUCCCUGCCUGAGCUCUGCAGGUCCACCCUCUGUGUGGGACGGUGCCGCGUGCAGGUGCACACUUGAGGGAACCAGGUGGUUCAGGGUCCACAGAAACCACCUGCAGCCGGUAAGCUGCGAUUUUAAAACACGUGUAAAGGAAAUAAUCCAUCAGCACUAACUAGAAGAAUCAAGAGAGGCGGCAAAGCUGAGGAUGUCUCCAUGAGAUGGUGGCAUUUGAUCUUAACCUUGGACAGCUGGAUGGAUCAGAAGCUAUUUCAUUAUCAGAACAAUGGGCAGUAAUGCUGCUGUCAGUUGUCUGGUAUCCACCACAGGCCAGAAGCAGGGAGGUCGUAUCACCAUCUUACAGACAAAUACAUGGAGACUUGGAGUGUUUAAGUAAUUUGCCCAGUGGCAGAACAGGGACCGUUCCUGGGCCCGUGCUGUUCCCACAUGUGAACAUUUUCCAUUUGGUGAUUUGCCUUCCUCCAGACUGGAAGCUGUCAGAGGCAAGGCUGGCCCACUCCGUUGUUUGCAGGACUGGUGUCCACAUGUCCUCAGUGGCUGUGUGCUGAGCGGAAGAACUGGGCCCCCCUGGAGCUUCGUCACCAUCCACAUCACUCUGAGGCUCUGUUUCUCCAUUUGUCAAAUGGUCAUGAUGAUAUCUACCCCCCAGAGUGGCUGUGAGAAGAAAGUCAGAUCAUGGUUAUGAAGAUGGCUAGUACGGGGUGUGUGUGUGUGUGUGUGAGAGAGAGAGAGAGAGAGAGAGAGAGAGAGAAAGAGAGAAAGAGAGAGAAGACUGGAAGAGAGAAAAACUGGAGCAAGGCUGGACUGUGGAGGGCCAGGUGCCAUGAGCCUCCAGCACUUUGCACUUGAGCCUGUUGGCAACGAGGAGUCCCCACAGUUUUUAGAAUUGAGGUAUAGCAUACACACUGUAAAGUGUGUAAACUGCCUCACUCUUAAAUUGACACGUCCAUGACUUUUCACGUAUGUGUUCACCCAUCAAUUGUCAUCAGCUCACAAUGUAGAACAUUUCCAGCACCUAGAAAGACUGCUCCUCCUCUUUCCCCCUCAACCACCCUCCCCACAAAAGGCAGCCGCUAUUCUGA